rnacentral:rRNA from 1 species
GCUUGCUAUUUUGCUGACGAGUGGCGGACGGGUGAGUAAUGCUUGGGAAUUUGCCUUGUUGUGGGGGACAACAGUUGGAAACGACUGCUAAUACCGCAUAAUGUCUUCGGACCAAAGGUGGCCUCUAUUUAUAUGCUAUCGCGACAAGAUGAGCCCAAGUGGGAUUAGCUAGUUGGUAAGGUAAUGGCUUACCAAGGCUUCGAUCCCUAGCUGGUCUUAGAGGAUGACCAGCCACACUGGAACUGAGACACGGUCCAGACUCCUACGGGAGGCAGCAGUGGGGAAUAUUGCACAAUGGAGGAAACUCUGAUGCAGCCAUGCCGCGUGUGUGAAGAAGGCUUUCGGGUUGUAAAGCACUUUCAGCGAGGAGGAAAGGGUAAUGGUUAAUAUCCAUUAUCUGUGACGUUNCUCGCAGAAGAAGCACCGGCUAACUCCGUGCCAGCAGCCGCGGUAAUACGGAGGGUGCGAGCGUUAAUCGGAAUUACUGGGCGUAAAGCGCGCGUAGGCGGUUAAUUAAGUCAGAUGUGAAAGCCCAGGGCUCAACCUUGGGAACUGCAUUU